rnacentral:piRNA from 1 species
UACAGUUAGAAGACUGUCCUCAUCCAAGAUG